AAACACUGUGUCCCCUGCUGUGCCAUCUGUCACUCCACUGAUCACUAGGGUUGAUUAGGCUGAUCUGGCUGGCUAGACAGGUAUUCCCUCCAUCUCUGUGCGCUCCAUCUGUGUCUUUCCAGAAGUUGUGCUGCUCAGCUGAAGAUGACCUUCCUUGACAGAGAACCGUUCUUCAGUGAUGGGUAUAUGAAGCAACUGUGUUCCCCUGCUGGAACCUCCAAAUGCGCGCUCAAGUCACAGCUUAGUAUUUCAGAGACAGUCGAGGUUCUUUUUUGCAAAGCAAUCCCAAAAU
rnacentral:snRNA from 1 species